UGCGUAACGUCCCCAUGGUCUC
rnacentral:siRNA from 1 species